UACGUAGGGGGCAAGCGUUGUCCGGAAUUAUUGGGCGUAAAGAGCUCGUAGGCGGUCAGUCGCGUCUGCUGUGAAAACUCGGGGCUUAACUCCGGGCCUGCAGUGGGUACGGGCUGACUAGAGUGCGGUAGGGGGAGACUGGAAUUCCUGGUGUAGCGGUGAAAUGCGCAGAUAUCAGGAGGAACACCAGUGGCGAAGGCGGCGAUCUGGGGAAGAUACUGACGCUGAGGUGCGAAAGCGUGGGGGAGCAAACAGG
rnacentral:rRNA from 1 species